GCCGUGGGCCGUCGUCCACAUCACAACUCUCUGCUGCCUCCACCGGGACCACCAGCAGCAGCAGCGGCCGCCGCGGCGCACGGGCGGCCGCGCCUCCGCUCGCUGCCAGCGCGGCAGUUCCCCGCCGACCUCCGCAUUCCCCUAGGUUCGUACUCCUCCGCGCGUCCUCUUGGGAACUAUUAGGAACUGGCGCGAAGAUUACCUGAUGCGCGUGUUCUUUAGGAGCUCAGGGAUUUGGGUCGCCUACUAUUACUCUACUCUGUAGUUUUUAUCCCCGUGAUGCAAAAUGAGCGCAAGCAGUUCCUAGUUAAACGUACCUCCAGCUUACUGAAUUGCUCGAAUGAGGCCUGGAAUGUACGGCAGAAUCUGAUCUACGAGUAUAUGACAGGAUUUCUGUGUACUGUUCAUACGGCAGGGCUUCUUCUACAUUAUACUCAAAAUUGGAGAUGGUGUUUGCUGAUUUUGGUCCUUUGGGCUUUGUCUCCAUAGUAGUAUUGCAGGUUUUCUGCUCAUGGCUUAUGUACAGGCUCAUUUCCUUUUUCUUUUACGCGCCGGCUUGACCUCAUCAAGUGACAAGUGAGAAUCUGAGGUGAGAUGGCAUGUGGUUUUCCCCCUGUUCUCUCCAUGCUCCAUCAAGAGAUAUUUGCAGAUUUUAGGGUGCCCUGAUAUUUGUAUGAUUCUAGUAAUGCCUUUUUUGCGAGCUUGUUACAUUGCUUUCUUCUGGUUGCUGGUAGCAUGAAAAGCGCAUGAUCUAGUUCAGAAAAGUGCAUAGCCUGAUUCUUGAAAUAAUUUCAUUAUUGCUCUACCCAUGUGAUAUAUGUUUGGGUCUAAUGUGGCUAGUCCGUACGACUCAUGCACUCGUGGGGGCAAGCAGAGACAAUAAUGAGAUUUUGUCCUAUUAAGCAUUGUUGAUAUAUGACCACCGAAUUUGCUGAGCAUUAUUGGAGGGGUACAUUUCAUGGCAUGACUCAUACCUGACAUUUUCCUUGUGUGAUCUACAAGGAUACGGAGGCUGAUCUUGCUAUAGAAUCGUACUCGAACCUACAUAAUAAGCAUGAUUUUCUCUCUGUACAUUGAAAUGUUGGUAUGAGUCAGGAAUUUUUUUGGAGUAUGAAUUCAUAUUGUAAUGUUCACAUCUAGUCUUCUGUUGUUUACUUUAUUCUGAGAUUGUACUAUUUUUUUUAAAGUGCAAUACAUUGAGUGCUAAAAUUGCAGUUUCUGUGGUUGUUGAUGGAAGAUACUGGCCAUGCUCAGAAAAGUGCAAACUCUAUAUAUUCUAGUAAGACAUAUGUUCUGUUAUACUCCCUCCGUUUUUAUUUCCUCUGCAUAUUAGAGUUGACUGAAGUCAAACUUCUUAAAAUUUGACCAAGUUUAUAGAAACGAAUAUAAAUAGAUAUCAUAACAAAUUUAUAUGAUGUGAAAGUACAUUCAAUAAUAAAUCUAAUGGUAUUGAAUUGUUAUUGUAUAUGUUCAUAUUUUUGUCUAUAAAUUUAGUCAAAGUUUACAAAGCUUGACUUUGACCAAAGCUAAUACGCGGAGUAAAUAAAAACGGAGGGAGUACUUCUAUAUAAUAACCAUGGUUGGUAAAGAUUCAGACCAAUAGUGGGUUGACCUGUAACUAGUAAUGUUCAAGGCAGCGUGGCGGAAUGACUGGAUGUUGACCUGGGAUCAGCUUCUCAGUUCCAUUGUUUUAUAUACACAGACUCUGCAGAUUAACUUUGUAUGCGAAUUAUUUGUUAGACAUCCCCACACUCACACCAAAAAAAUUGGAUUGAAGAAUGCACACCAUUGCUUCUUAGUUCUUUCGCAUCAAGGCAAAUGGUAAAAAGGUGUUUCAACAGGAAUGCUGAAUAACCCCUAUUACUUGAUGCAUUUUUAUGUUGCUGAUGAAUAGUUUGAAAGGUGACAACACCUCAGUUAAGUACCAGUUCAUUUUCUCUAGUAAUCAAAAGUAAAUAGCUAUAUGUAUCUCCUUAAUAAUUAUAGCUGUGUAAUAGGGUAUUAUCAUCACCAGGCCUAAGUUUAACUAAAAUCGAUCAUGCUCAGAGGUUAUGAAUUCUGAUAACUACUCAUUUUAGUCAGAGUUAGGUUGCACACUGCUUUUCAAGUUAGGCAAUACCGUGCUACUUCAAUUAAACCAAGCUUUCUGUUUAGCUGGAAUCCCCAGUCUGGACAACCGCUUCCUGGUGUUUUCUGUAAAGUAUUCAACGAAGUUAUCAACCUUUUCAAAAUACCAUGAUGUGAAACUGUAUGCAUUUGGCUCUGUAUUCCACAUGGGCGUCAUUCCCAUACUAAUGCAAAAUUAUUGCUCAUGGUGCUAUAUAUUAUGAUUUGUCAUUUGCCUAAUGAGGCUGAGGUUGUAAGAUAUGGCUUGUGCCAGAGUUCAACCAUCAGUGGCUUGGUGCGAUGUGUUUGUCGUUGCAGUUGGUUGUGUUUAUAGCUGCCACCUCAGCUGAUACUUGGCUAUGAUGGACAGUCCAAAUUGCAGUAUCAGAGGCACAUGCUCACACAUGGAUGGGCUCCAUGUGUUUCAGUAAAGUCAUGCAGCCCCCUGGAGUUGUACCAUUAAGGUACAGGGGACCUUGACAAAUACAUCUGGCUGUGCCUCAUUUUCAGGGUACUUCCUGAAAGAUUUGUCAAGACAGGGCUAGGAUGGGGGGCAGGCAUUUAUGUUGUUUAAAUUAUUAAAUGUUAUGUUAGUUUUAGAUUGGUACCGCAUGAGUGCCCCUACACCAUAAUUUUCCUCCUUUUUUGAAAAGUAGCUUGCACCUCACAAAGUAAGAAGAAAUGUUGCUGUUGCCCUUAAUUUAUGCUUUGCAUAACUGCAUUCUUAAGCAAGUGUGCAGAUUGAUUUUCCUGAUAUUUCUGUUGCUAGUUUGACGAAGGGAGCUUGAUUGAUCUACGGCCAUGUGUAGUGUUUUGUGAUUUUAGAAAAUGGAAGAUGAAAAGGGAAAUAUGAGAUGCUCGUGUGAAAUUAUUGCAUUAUUAAUUUAUGUAGAAGCUAUAAUGCCAACAAUUGAGUGAUGUACAUGUAGCGUCUGGCAUAUGAAGUUGUGCAAAAAACCCAAGCAUCACAUAUGCAAUAUGUCAGGCUUGCAGCUCAGUAGUACAAUUAUGAGCAGUAGUAAUGGGUCUUUUUUCUGGGCGAGCUGGCAAAAUAUUUGGCAUGGCUAUGCUGGAAAUAGUGAAUCUGACGACUGGGGCCAGCUUAGCUGGUUUAUUCCCACACUCAAAGAGAAAGUGAGCUGAAAAGAAUUGAUGCCAAGCUACAGAAGUACUGCAGCAUAUUAAAGAAAUGUAUUGGCCUUGGAGCUUAGCGGACCAGACAUCAAGUCAAGUAUUGGUUCAGUCAAGCUUCUUAUGACAAAAGCAUAAGAUGAAUACCACACAAGAUCAUGGUUUCACGAGAUAUGCUUGCUUCACAUCAUCUGCUAUUCAUGGUGGAACGAUCACUGGAUGUGUUGUACUUGUAUGGAGUAAUUAUGGUGUGCAUGUGGGCUUAUCAGAGAAGGAUUGUUACUAGGACCGGAGGCAUGCCUGAGUUGCUUGGACAUAGACAUGUGAUGCUGGUACGCUAUGAUAUGGAUGUGUCAAUAAGAAAAUACUAGCAGGUUCAACAUGUAAUUUUGUUCUCAUGUUCUCUAUUUUAGUCGAGUGCAGUUCAAUGACAAUUAUGUUGCACUGAAACAGACAAUUAUCAAACUGCAAAGAACCUAUUGUCUUUCUCAUGCCUGAUGUCCAUCAUGUCAGUAAAAUGUGUUGCUUCUUUUGGAAAAUAGUGAAACCACUCCUUGGCAUGUGUCGUACCAUUUAAUAUGUUUCAGUUCAGUAGUUCUGAUUGUGUUGCCUUGCACUCUUGACUCUUGCUACUCCAUGUUGCAUAACCUCAAGUACAUGUCAUACUAAGACCCUUGCUAACAGAGAUUUUCGUGGGUGACAGAUGUUACAUUACCUCUGUGCAAUGCUGUUCAGGGCGUGAUGGUAUGCACCUAUUAGAAUCUGAAGUUAAAACAUAAUGUAGACUAUUCUAGAAAUGGACAUGAUAUAAUGGAUAUGGUAAGUUAUUAAACUCCUCUAAUUGUCCUUUCACUUGGCCAGCCGUCAUGGUGUAUCCACCAAAGUUUGUUCAGCAUUAUUGCAGUUCUGUUACGUGUUGCUGUCGGACACCUGUUUUUUAGGGGUUCACAUGAGGAGUUAGACUUCAAAGUAGCAAGUGGGCAUGUCGGUUAGUGCUGAUCUGGAGAGAGACCAUUCAAGACUUAUUUCCUUGCUGAUAGCUGAGAAACCUGAGAAAUAUUGACGAACAUUGAUUCUUGGAUGCUUCACAAAUGGGACUGUACUAAAGCAUUAUGCCCCCUGUAUGCAUACAGACUACCGAUCGCUAUGAGCCCCAAGGCUAUAUAUAAACAAACCAGCAAGGCACUGCACUGCGCAGAUGUCUUCCGAUGUCGUUCUUGCUCGCCUGCGUUUGCUGCUAGCUCCAAACAAGUGCUCUUGUCCUAAUCACAAUCAUCGAACGGCCAGCAUUAUUUGCAAUGAUCAGAGGAAAUGUCCGUGCAUGUGGUCUUCGCCAGCUUGCGUCGUGCAAAUUAAAUUGAACUGCAGAUUGACGGCAAUCUAUCUAUCACUGUGGCCGUGUGCCAGAUACUGCACUCGUAUAGUCCUAUGCUUAUCAUGAUUGGAGAAGGGUAAGGGUUAUAUUCCUCGGUUUGAAACUUCUAAGAGCAUCUCCUAGGUGGUCUAUGGAUGCCGGUGUAACUUUUGUUACUUGUGUAUUUGUACUGCCAUGACAUUUAAAAAAUAGACCAGACAUGUUUCCUUUGCCGGA